GUUGCCAUGACAGCACCACCUGAGAGAAUAUCAGAAAAGAACCAAUUAGGAUGGGAUAACUGAAUGCAAGACCUUGCGACCAAAAGAAAGGGAAGUAUGAGGUGAAGACCAGGUGAGGUGAAGACCAGGUAUUCCAGCAAGCUGAGACUCAAGUCUUUGUUUUUCUUCGCUUAAUGAUAAACGUGUGGCAGUAUCCAGUUGUUCAAACCGCCAUCCACCUUCUCCAUCAAACUGCAACAAGACAAAAGAAGAGCUGGGUGAAGACAAUGAGAACAGCAAUAAUUGUCCAAAAGCAUGACUGAAUUAAUAUUAAAUAUAAAAUGUAACAGAAAGGGGGUCAAAGACAUAUAUGUGCUGGAAAUACUAUUUAAAGCUAUGUUAACAUGUCGGAAUGUCUGCCCGGAAAAUCUCAGAGUGAACAUUCCGCAGACUGCGGGUGCCGGCAUAAUAUGAUGACAUAGACAGCUAUCUAUUCCAUAGGUUCAUUUUUUCUGCAAAUACGUAAAUUGGAAUUUUCAUGCCAGAAACAUCAGGCACGUAAAUUCCGCCAUGUGCACAGCGCAGCAGAAUAAAGUUAAAUUCAACCGGACUCUGCUGCAGCGGAAUCUCUGUGCAAAACUCCAAGUGGAAUUCCGCACGGAAAUUCUGGCAUAUGAACAUUUUAUUGUUUCCCUUACGUUUUUUUUCCUCCUCAUCUUCAACACUGUAAUUAUUUCCCUUCCGUUUUACAUUACGGUGCCACUGCCGCAGUGAAUGGAGCUGGUAAGUGCAAGUCCCUGUCCAGGGGACUACUUUCCAGGUGGCCGGUGGGGAAUUUAUAACUCAAUAUCUUCACCAUCCCUGAGGGCACAAACGUCCCCCGGGGAUGGUGAGGAUAAUGAUUUUAGCAUAUAUAUAACGCAGUGACAAGCGUUAUAUAUGCUAAAAUAUGCUGAUUGGUUCCCUUUAAGCCAAAACCAGCAAAGGGUCCAAAAUAAAGAACAAGUGAGAAAUCUUUCCAUUAUAAAUUUUUUCUGAAUCGAGUCCAAUCCUGGUUUUGGUUUAAAAAAAACUGACCAAACAGAUUUUGUUUGAUUUUACUAUUUACAAAAUAAAAAAUUGAUUUGCAUCACCACAAUCUGACCCCUAUUACAUUUUAAUUUUCUUUUUUAUUGCAUGUCAUCUUGGAUGUAAGGUGACAAAAAAAAUUAUUGCAUUGAGUAUUUUUUUCUUUCUGUUUAUGGUGUUCACCAUUUGGGAUAAAUAACAUACCUGUCCAGAGGAAAAGUUAUUGAGUUGCCCAUAGCAACCAAUAAGAUUGCUUCUUUCAUUUUUUACAUGCCUUUUCAAAAAUGAAAAAAGGUAUCUGGUUGCUAUGGGCAACUCAUCAACUUUUCCUCUGGACAAGUUUUGAUAAAUCUCCCCCACAUGUUCCUUAACACUUUUUUUUUUGCCACUCCAGGGCAACCGUCGAAGCAUUCUUCUAUUCAUUUGUACAGACUACAGUAUUAUUAUCAGAUUACAGAGUACUGUCACUUCUAUGAUCUGCUAUUAUAAAUUUUCUCUGAAUUAGGACCACUCCUGGUUUUGGUUAACAGCCACAGGGGACUUCAGAAGGCCCUUGCUGGCUGCCAUGAAAACUGACUUGCGACCUAUGACUGCGUUGCAGCGCCACCCAUUGGAGGCAUGGCAGGAUUGUUACCUGUUUUUUAACCUCGUAGAUGAUGCAUUCAAACAUCAAAGUGGACUCUGUUGCCAGUCACCUUCAGCUGCAGAAAGCAGCUAGCACACACAGGAUAUAGAAGGGGCUUGGCUCCUGAGUUGGUUUCAUACACCUGGACACAGUUAACUUACAUGCAUGCCAAAUGUUGGGGAGGAGAUAAAGUGCAUCUACUGUUAUAAACAAAAAGUUUGCAUAAAAAGACUCUGCAUUGAUUACUUACUUUUAAAGAUAAAAUCUGCACAUGAUCUUACAGGAUCUUUAACUUCACUUAGAGAUGAGAAUACACUUUAUGACUAUAGGUCUAUAGUGAGAGAGUUUGCUGCGUCUGUAAAUUUGAGUGUAUUUCUAAAAACACACAAAGGUAAAAGCAGCCUGAAGGAAUAAACAGUGCUGCUGUUAAAGGAGUACUCCGAGAUAAAACUUUUUUUCAACUGGACUUAUCUCCCACCACUUCCUCGAUGCCUUCCGUUGCAAACAUCUGGCGAUCCUUUUCCUGCUUCUUGUGGUUGCCUCAUCACACUGUGGCUCAGCUAAUCGCCGGCCACAACGAUGUCCCGUCUUGACCAGUGAUAGGCUGAGGGUCAGCGUGACAUGUUGACCACAAGAAGCAGGAAGAGAAGAGGAUCUUUGCGGAGGCCAGGAGUGGAAUAUUGGAGGCACCAGCAUCAGUGCAAAAGGCAGAGAGGAGGAAAACAGUCUGAUAUGUGGCAUAAGAGGUAUUUUCUUUAAUAAGAUAUAUUACAAAAUUGUUUAUCUUUGCUUUAUAACUAAUUUAUAGAAAAGUUGUUUAUAAUGUGAGGCAUGGCUUAUUGGGGUUGUCCAGCCAAAAAAAUAACUUUUUUAUGGCGUCAAAAAUUGAUGCUAAAGCAACUUACUAACAUAAAGUUAUUAGCCAUAGUGCAAAGAUCUCUACAUAUCAGCUUUGCUCAUUAGAUUUCAAAGUAGCAGAAAACAUUUCUCAGUCAGAAUAGUUUCAGUCAGAACAGGCUCACUGCUGUCUUACCAGAGAAACGCUACCUGGUGCAUUAAAAUUUAAUGAGCAGUAAUAUAAGCUCCCCCUCUUCACAUUAAUGGUCAUUUCCUGAGCAGACAGUAGGGGAGGGGGCAUGGAAGCUUUGUUUUUAGUGAGUGUGACGUGAUAUCACAGCUAUAAGCUAAACAGCUCAGCU